AUGCGCCAGAAUGCGACUCGGUGGGCGGAGAGGAAAGGUUCGAUGAUGCUGGCGACGACGCAUCCUCGUUCAGUUGGCGGCCGCGAGAGUGUGGCGGCGACGAUGGCGACUUUCUUGAGAUCCAGCUUGUCCGGCUCGUACCAGUUGUGUUGGAGGAUCGCUCCCACGUCGUCGGCGCCAAACUGCUUGCGCACGGCGAAGUUGCCCCACGAUGGCUUGAGGACAAGAGAGAAAGAGACGACGCCGGUGGUGUUGACCUCAACGGCCAUGGUGAUGGCUAAGGCGGUGGCGAGUGAGAAGCUCGGCGGCGUCGGCUCCAAGAGGAGGUGGCAAACACCGGCGGCUGGGGCGGUCGGCUCCUGCAUCGAGGAAGAAGCUCCCUUGGAUGUCGGCUGGAGGCCCGUG
rnacentral:lncRNA from 2 species